CUGCAAGUMAGGGGCAUCUUCGGNUGUCACUGGCGCACGGGUGCGUAACACGUAGGCAACCUACCCUCACCUCGGGGAUAACCAGACUAACGUCUGGCUAAGACCGGAUGAAGUCUCGAUCCUGCAUGGGAAUGAGAUAAAAGGCGGAGCAAUCUGCUGGGAGAGGAUGGGCCUGCGUCCCAUUAGGUAGUUGGUAGGGUAACGGCCUACCAAGCCGACGAUGGGUAGCUGGUCUGAGAGGAUGAUCAGCCACACUGGCACUGAGAUACGGGCCAGACUCCUACGGGAGGCAGCAGUGAGGAAUAUUGCGCAAUGGGCGAGAGCCUGACGCAGCAACGCCGCGUGAAGGAUGAAGCACCUCUGGUGUGUAAACUUCUUUUGCCGAAGAAGAACACUGGUGUGUUAACUGCACAUCGGAUGACGGUAUUCGGCGAAUAAGCUCCGGCUAACUCCGUGCCAGCAGCCGCGGUAAUACGG
rnacentral:rRNA from 1 species